rnacentral:rRNA from 1 species
UACGGGGGGAGCAAGCGUUGUUCGGAUUUACUGGGCGUAAAGGGCGCGUAGGCGGCCACCGCAAGUCAGUUGUGAAAUCUCUGGGCUUAACCCAGAAAGGUCAACUGAUACUGCGGGGCUAGAGUGCAGAAGGGGCAACUGGAAUUCUCGGUGUAGCGGUGAAAUGCGUAGAUAUCGGGAGGAACACCAGUGGCGAAGGCGGUUGCCUGGAGCUUUGCUGACGCUGAUGCGCGAAAGCGUGGGGAGCGAUCCGG